UGCCCAGCAACUCCUAUCCCUACCUCCACGCGGUACCGGCCGGAAACUAUGAGCAACCUUAGGGAAGAUCGGGUAACCAACCUCGAUGGGACCUUUGGUCGUAGGCUGACAGGGAAGG
rnacentral:ribozyme from 1 species